rnacentral:rRNA from 1 species
GAUGAACGCUGGCGGCGUGCUUAACACAUGCAAGUCGAAGAUAGUGGCGAACUGGUGAGUAAUACGUGGGUAACCUGCCCUCCUGUUUGGGCUAAGCCUUGGGAACGGUGUCUACUACUGAAGAAAGGGGGAUGGGCUCGCGGCCUAUCAGCUUGUUGGGGGGGUGAUGGUCUACCAAGGCGGCGACGGGUAGCCGGCCGGUGAGGGUGACCGGCCACAUUGGGACGGGGAUACGGCCCAGAGUCCUACGGGAGGCAGCAGUGGGGGAUAUGGCGCAAUGGGGGAAAGCCUAAUGCAGCGAGGCCGAGUGGGGGAUGGGGUCUUUCGGUUUGUAAACCUCUUUCGCUAUCGAACGGGUAGGUGGGGAAGAAGCGCCGGCUAACUACGUGCCAGCAGCCGCGGAAUAC